rnacentral:rRNA from 1 species
CCAGCAGCCGCGGUAAUACGAAGGGGGCUAGCGUUGCUCGGAAUCACUGGGCGUAAAGGGUGCGUAGGCGGGUCUUUAAGUCAGGGGUGAAAUCCUGGAGCUCAACUCCAGAACUGCCUUUGAUACUGAAGAUCUUGAGUUCGGGAGAGGUGAGUGGAACUGCGAGUGUAGAGGUGAAAUUCGUAGAUAUUCGCAAGAACACCAGUGGCGAAGGCGGCUCACUGGCCCGGAACUGACGCUGAGGCGCGAAAGCGUGGGGAGCAAACAGGAUUAGAUACCCUGGUA